AUGGAGUAUCAGAGGAGGCUUGAUGCUCUGACCUUGGAUGAUGUUGUCUGGACACACUAUACAUCUCAUCACCCUCAUCGUCCAUUUGAGGUAUCUAUUUUACAUUCAGGGCAUAUUAGAUGGGAGAGCCAUGUGGCUAAACACUUGCCUGAGAGGUGUCUACGCCAGUAUGGUUAUGUACAAGGUAUCCCUCGUCCAGUUCCAGAGUCUCCAGCUAGUGGGGUUGAUAGAUGGUUUCAGAGUCACAUCCUCACCUCUCCCCAUGAGAUCAUGGAUACAACCGUCAAGGUUCAGCAACCUGGGUAG